rnacentral:sRNA from 1 species
UUAAACUAUAAUACUACUCACUUGGAAUUUCAAAAUAAUCUCGGGACUUAGAGCACGCCUCGUAAAUUUCUUCUAUAAAUUGAUUUUCUCAUUGGAUGAAGCACAUCAAUACAAAACAAAUGAACUACCAAAGUGCCCUAAUUAACAAUNUUUUGCAAGUGAAUACAGACAUCGCCCCAGCACGGCUGUCAUUAAAGUCCAUUUGAUGGCAUAUAAGUUUCUGUUAACAUUUCAAUAGACCAAUUAAGUGACCUUUCCCCCUCCAAACCCAAUUAAGCUAUCUGGACUUCAAAUGCUACAUGUAUUUUAUGUAGAAGGGGAAAUUAAUUUUUUGGUGUUAUGGGUUUACUAUUCUAAUGGGGCUCAGACCCUCACAUAAUUAAAUGCUACAGCUAACAUGUAGUUGUGAGCUUAAUCUUUCCAGUUAUCCUUAUAUAUUUUAUUUCUGGUUUAUUUAACGGUUUGCUAUCCAGUUAUAAUUUAAAAAUUUACAUCCAUCAAUAAUAUUUACUAAAAACUAAGCAGCAGAAAGCCACCGAGGGGGAGGGGCCUUAUGAUACAGGAGCGAUCUUUCCGCCUUACAGAGCCCCAAAACCCUCAAAUUCUGAAGCUAGUUUGUAAAAGUCAAAAGGAAAACCCUCCCAUUUACACCUUUAUAACAUCACUUUGAGAAGGAAUACGGUACACAAGAACAAGAAACAGAGUAGAAGAAAGAAAAAAAUUACGACUUAAACAGUCCUGCUUCAACUUUCUGAAUUUAUUUCCGAGACCCUCCUGGCACCAUGGGAGAGCAUGACAAAGGCAUGGCAGCCCUAGCCCUAGUUACAAUGCUAAUCUGCCAUAUCACUUGCCCGUCCCCCAGCAUGCACUGAUUUUGCUUCUGUCCACAACUAAAAGAAUACAAUUAUUAAGUCGUCUUAUCACUUGAUGCGCUGGUCUGUAAUUUGUGCUAACUACAUUGUCAAAGGAAAAUUUAUUUAAAUUUUCAUUUCUUUGUGAAACUUUGUAGAUGCUGCAUAUCUCAUGAUUAGGGACAACAUAUAAAGCGUCACCCCUCUAAUCUGCCUAAAAUCCCUUUUCAUCCAAUUGUUGAAGGCGGCUUGAAAGGCCCACACCAAGCUUAUGACCACUGCACAUAUGGGGGAAGGGAACCUUUGAGGGUAGCUAAUUAAACCGUUUGUCUUCUAAAACAUUUAACUGGCUUUGGAGAUUAUUCUAAUUAAGAAUGUUAGAUGUAUUUUUUAAUGUAGCUAUUAAAAUGAAUCAUAAUCCAGUAUCUCAUGUACUAAAUUAAAUCAAUGGAGACAUGCAGAAUUUCUCUAUUUUAGAAUGAAUAGUUCUAAAAAAGACAAAUUAAAUUAAGGACACAUGGAGAAAAUACAAUCUACACUUUAUAUUUAUUUGGGUAAAUGACUAUGGUUUUCACAAACACAAUGCAUAAAUAUGACAGGCGGGAAGCCUAUCUGCUGGCCCUCAUCCUGCUCGUGGUGUGGAAGGGAUUAUAACUGGGAAAUAAGAUACUACGCUAAAAAGGCAUGUCCAAAUUUACACCACAUCUUUACACGUGUGUUUUAGAGUUCUCAAAGCUGUGCUAGGUAUUUACCUCGCUGUGUAUCUGUUUCUAUCUGUCUCUCUACACACAGGACAGACGUGGGCUUGUGUGGAACUACCAGCUGAGAGAAAAGGCCAAUAAGCAACCUGCUAGGGUUUCUUUUGUUUGCUUUCUGGUUUUGUUUUUAUAAAGCCACUUUCCCCCUUAAAUAAUUAAAACAGAAACCAAAACAAAAGAAACAAAUGAAUUAUGAUGGCAACACACACACCAGGCAGCCCCUGCUAGAGUCAGACAGUAUUAUACUCUAAACACUUUCUCCUUCCUUACUGCUGCAAGAUUAUACUGGUUUAUCCCAUUAAAGUUGGUGAAACGCCAUUCUUGUGUCUUAAAGCUCUAGCAUUGGAGGUCAAGAAGUGUAUGCUGCUUCUUACAAGGCUGGUGUGGAUGUAAUCUUCCCAAAGUUACAAUAAUUAAUGUUAAGCUUCUUUAGCAACGUUUCUGAAAGAACUGCCCUGAUAAUAUACUCAGAGCCUGGCUGGCUGUUUGUGUUCUGAGCAAGAAAUGUACUCCAUGCAACUCACGUGUGCCAGCUUAAAUCUUUAGGCAAACGAGGGUGAGGAUGAGGAGCUGGGCCUAUGGAUACAUGUAACACUGAAAUUUACAGAAACGAGGCCCGAGGGAGAGUCUGGCAUACACAGAAAUGCAACUUUCCAAAUUUUAUUAAUUCUAACAUAACAAAUAUACUGACCUCAACUUUAUUUAUUGAAACAGAAUUCCCUUUUUAAGCCGAGGCUGGCCUCUAUAUGGUCCAGGAUGGCCUCAAACCCACAGCAAUCCGCCUGCUUCGGACCCCCCCCCCCCCCACUGCUAGGAUUCUAGGUGUGGGACACUAUGUUCGCUCCAACUCUUACAUGGCAUGUAGUUACAAAGUUAUUCUUUAACACUACAAAUUCUUAUGUCAGAAGCUUCAUUCACACGGAAAUGGAAUUUAAUUUUACUAAUAUCAGUGGGACUCCUACUUUUAGAAUAUAAAGCAUCUCGGACUUUAGACUGUUUUUGAGCUCGGGAGUACUGCUGUAACCGGUUGGUUUUCCCUCUCUUAGUUGUAUUGAUAAAGUAUAGGUGAAAUAAACAGCAAGAACGAACAAUAGAACUUAAGGAGCUAUGCAGCCGAGAGGAGAUGCUAUCGAUGCCCCAGUGGGCAGGACCCGCAUGCUUUAUUGUGUCUCACUUCUCCUUCUGAGCGCUUGCUCCUGGGUAACAAGAAGCAGAGUCCAGUGAUGCUCACCACAGCAGGGCCACUAGCACUUACAGGCAAAGGCCUGUUGAGUCCCUGAGCCAGGAGACGGGAUCUCGCUCAGUCCCAGCCUAACCUUUCAAAAGCUCCCAUGCAGUCAUGAACACACACAGCUGCAAUACAGAUUUUAAAUGUGGUGAGAGGAGAGGGCAGCCAUGCUUAGGGGAUGAUGCAGGAGUGCUUCUUGGAGGCAGCUUAAAAAAUUUAAAGGACAUGUCAGACUUAUUCCCUUAUACCACCCCUAGUCAGUCUUCUUCUAAUUACAUAAAGGCAGCAUGAAGACUAGGGGCACAGCUCAGCGAGUGAAUACAUGCCUAGCACGCUCCAAGCCUUGAGCCUGGCCUGGAGCACUGUAAAGAGAAAUACAGGAGAAAACAUAAGACGGUAGUGACUAGAGGAGGACCCCUUACCCUGGGACAUAGGUUUCAAGGCCUUCACCUGAACGCAGUAAUAACGCUGUGUAUGCAUUUAUUUUCCUGGACAUACGUAUCCAUUAAUUUAUUUAACUUAAUUAAUUAAACUUAGUCAUAGCAAAGGAUUAAAGUAUAUCCAUAUAAUGAUAUAAAGCAAUUACAAUAAUAUUCUGUGACAAUUGAAAAGUGCAUGAAUGUGGCAUCUUGUUCUCAAAGGAGUUUCCUAGGUCUCCUCCAGGGGGAUGCCAUGCCAGGAGCAUAUCAGAUGAUAUGCAGUGUGGAGAGUGACGCAGGCACUGUGAUGUGGUAUUAGGCUACUGUUGACCUUCUGACAGUGUGCACUUCUGUAUUUAAGAUCACAGCUAGCCAUGGGUCACUGAAACCAAAGGUAAGGAGGAGGUGACUACAGACUACCAUGCUCCCCUCUCUUUAUACUUGAAACAACCCGCUUCUAUCAUUCAAGUAAAUCCCUUGUCACUGGUAGGGCUUUUACACUGGAGAUUAAUGGGAACAGUGUGAAGGAGAGAGAGGGUAAUGUGGGGGAAGGGAAGGGGUAACUUGUUUUCUCAAGCUAAUGCUAUGCUAAACUCACAUCUAAAGCAAGGGGCAAGGCUAACAACGGUAGAAAACGGACAAGGAACAUGGACUGCAGACUGCUGUCCUCUUAGCCAAAUAGCCAAUAUCUUCAUGAUAGCCAUGACGAUUUGCAAGACCCCUGAAAUCAGGUUUCUUGGUUGUUAAUGUUGUCUCACAGAAGCACAGCCCGGCCCUUUGUUCCGGGAAUGUGAUGUUGUGGGUCUGGGGUGGGCGUGGGGAGAGGAUAGGGCUGUGGAGGUCAGCUGAAGUGGGAAUUCCAUCUGGGCAGCUGUGGGAUGCCGCCCGCCCGCCCGCCUGCCCGCCGUCCGUGCAGAGCGGAGACUUUCUGGUGGUGCGGCUGCUCUGGGCACCCCCUACCCCUACCCAGUGAAUAAGUGCAAGGGUUCCCAGGCAGACUCCUCCUUCCGGUUGAGCACGGGACUCCAUGAAGGAGAGGGAAGGUAUCUGCUUUUGUCUCCCAGGGAUCGAGUUCUUACAGCAAGGGGGCUGUGGUCUGUUAUGUGUUUGUGCGUGCUAGAAUGAUCUUACACAUUUGCUGUAACACUUAGCCUGUGACUGUUUUAAAAACAACAGGUAUGUGUUUGGCUAUAUUUUGAGUGGUCUUGUCAUUAAUGCCAAUUAUAGUCUACAUUUCAUUAAGUUAAGUAGUAAUGGAAUAUAAUCUUUCUCUCCUCUCUCUGGUCGCCCCUGCCUUUGCCACCCUCCCACGCCCCCACCUCAGUUUGCUCAGGCUGGCCUCAAACCAAUCCACUCAUUUCCUGGCUCCACUUUCUGAUGCUAGCCAUACCAUAUAGCCGUGCCAUCUGGGAUUGGACCAGACUCUUGACCUGACUCCUCAUAUACCGCAGGCUCUGUUGUCAUAGGUUCUACUAAUACCAUGUGGAGUAGGUUCUAUACUAUAGUGUGUGAGUAGGUUCUAUAAUACAGUGUGUGAGUAGGUUCUAUAAUACGGUGUGAGUAGGUUCUACAAUACGGUGUGUGAGUAGGUUCUACAAUACGGUGUGUGAGUAGGUUCUAUAAUACGGUGUGUGAGUAGGUUCUAUAAUACGGUGUGUGAGUAGGUUCUACAAUACGGUGUGUGAGUAGGUUCUAUAAUAUGGUGUACGAGUAGGUUCUAUAAUACAGUGUGUGAGUAGGUUCUAUAAUACAGUGUGUGAGUAGGUUCUAUAAUACGGUGUGAGUAGGUUCUAGAAUACGGUGUGUGAGUAGGUUCUACAAUACGGUGUGUGAGUAGGUUCUAUAAUACAGUGUGUGAGUAGGUCUCGAGGACUAUUGCAUAUGGUAGGAAGCGUGCUAUUUGGAAUUUUUUAAACUGGACAAAGAUCAUCAUACUUAAGGAUACCAGGGGAACCUGAUGUUUACCAUUCUGACUUGGAACAGCUCCCUAACCCCUGAGCAGGGCAGCCAGCCUGUGCCCUUCAGCCCCGCUCCCUCCUGCAGCAAGUGCAGUGAAUGGGAUGAGGAGUCUCUCAAGAGAAGGCAUAAUAGGCACGGACAAAACCAACUUAAGUUUCCUUCAAAGCGGAAAACUCCCUACAAAGUAAUUACUACCACACCCUUUACCUUCCCUUAGGAAAGGCCAAGAAGGGUUUAGAUACUCAGAGAUUAACUAGGUAACUCCCCACGAGGAAGACCUUCUAUUAUAAGGAGCAAUGGAAUGAAUACACUAGAGGGGUCGUCUUCUACACCAGCUUAAUGCACUCGUACAGGGAAACCUGAGAACAAAAAAAAAAAAAAAAAGAGCUAAAACAACAGAACCACCAGCUCUAGAUUCUACUUUCCAUCUGCUGAACUAGAAGCUCAAGAGGGUGGGGAUGAGAACCUUCUACCUUAUCCAAUAAUUCCGAUGGAUACUGUAGUCCAGAAACAUUGAAUUGAGAAAGCAAGGUCAACGGGGCCCACUAACUAAUCAAGAAUUAUAAAAUCACAACAAAUGUCAACAAGGUAGAAGACAGAAGAAAAUAAUUGAGGCCAUGUUUAAAAAUAGUUUAUAAAUAGUAUGAUAUAAAUUUCACUAGGCUGGAAACACAUCAAAAAUAAAAGCCACUGACUGUCUUCUGAAGCUUCCCUGAUAUGACUCUGCUAAGUGAAAGCCAUCACAGGGAAAAGUCCAGUUGAGCGUGUAGUGUCACCACUACCCUUCCCUGACAUAGGAGUCCACACUAUGGGGAAAAGACCAUGCUGGGGGACCUUGCCAGAGCAUCUUACGAUGGUGAUGUAUUAUGUGUCCUUAUUUAAAGAUGUGAUUAAAAAAAUGUGCUUCUGUAGAUCCUCAUCUCAGAAAUGCAGCUAGGCCUGGCUUAAAUCGUGGCCUGCAUUGUUACAGAAGAAAAACCCUUCUGUCUACCGUUCUGGGAAACCCCAUGCUGUUGUCUAUUGACUGGACAAGGAGGACGGUGAGAGGAAAACCAAUUAUGUGCAGAGCUAAAAGUGGACGAGUCAAAAGGCUAGCCCGACAUUUAAUGAUGAGGUAAAGUGGAUCACAAAAUAUGAACAUUCUAUAGAAACAGGUUAUAUGCAGUCAGGUUCAGACAACACACACAUCUACUGUGACCUACCCUCUAAUUCUUGAAAGACGGAAAUGCUUUAAAGGCACUGGGGACGUUCUUUCACUUUUCAUAAACAGGUUUGAAUUAUUCCUCCUAAAUAUUUUAACUCCUUACAUUGGAGAUGCAAAUUCUAAAAUGCAAAAUUAAAUUCUUUUGAAGGACACUGAGCUCCCUCUGGUGAAGGCGUAACAAGUUUAUUAAGAGAGCGCCACCUCUGGAAUUAUAAUCCCCUCUGGCUUCUUCCACGGAGUUUACUGGUUCAAUUUUCAUAACCAUGAGCAUCAUUAGGGCAAUGCAGUAAUUAAGAGUUGUUAGAAAGUGAAUUCUCAAACUGCAGAUUAGAAAAUUAAACUAUUUCCUGCUUACAUAUUAAUGGAGCACAACAAUAGCAGUUACCAUAAGCUUGGAAGGCAACCAAGGGAUAAAUCUGUGUACUUAAUUACCAUAAACAAUGGCUGCAUAGAAAUGAAGUUUUAUGCACAUUCCCUCUGUAAUAUGUCUGAUAUCAGUACACACUUGACAAUUCUUGUUCAAUUAUCUCUAUUAUUUAAUGCGCUGUGAACGGCUCUGUGUAAAUAAAAUUAACCACCCCAAUUACUUUGAAUUCAUCUAGGGACAACGUAAUAAAAAAUGUGAAGAAUUCUGCAUGCCUGUUAAUCUAAAACAUUACAGAAGCUUUCCCAUAGUCUCUUGUCUAUAUUUAUUUUGUCUACAUUUAUUUUACUGCCUUGCUAAUUCAAUUACAUUUACCGUCGAUGGUCAAUGGAGUUUUUAUUUAAUUAAUCUUUAUAUAGCCCCACAAACAUGCUCAUUAUCUGAUAAUAUCUACAUGGUCUCAAAUAGUAAAUACUGCUUAUCUAAUAACUGACUGACUUUAAGCAAACUUAUAAGCCAAUAUGUAAUCACCCAAAACACUAAAACGCAAGCCGGCCAAAUGUGAAAUUAUAAUGAAGUUUAGUGGUCAAUGUCGGGGAUGAGAAGUAAGAAAAUGCAGAUGAAUAAACCAGAAA